rnacentral:rRNA from 1 species
UUCGCAAUGCCCGAAAGGGUGACAAUGCGACGCCGCGUGUGUGAUGAAGGCCUUCGGGUUGUAAAGCUCUGUCAGCUGGGACGAAUAGCAAAGUGUUGAAUAACAUUUUUGUCUGACGGUACCAGCAGAGGAAGCCACGGCUAACUCCGUGCCAGCAGCUGCGGUAAUACGUAGGUGGCAGGCGUUACUCGGAUUGAUUGGGUGUAAAGGGUGUGUAGGUGGCAAGUUAAGUCGAAUGUGAAAGCCCAUGGCUCAACCAUGGAAUUGCAUUCGAAACUGGCUUGCUUGAACGACUGAGAGGAAAACGGAAUUCCCGGUGUAACAGUGAAAUGCGUAGAUAUCAGGAGGAACGCCGGCGGCGAAAGCGACUCUCUGGCCUGUUACUGACGCUGAGUGUGCGAAAGCUAGGGGAGCAAACGGGAUUAGAUACCCCGGUAGUCCUAGCCCUAAACGAUGGGCACUAAGUAGAGGGGUUUU